rnacentral:tRNA from 1 species
GCCAGUGUGGCUUAGUGGUUUGAGUGCUGGACUACAACUCUGGAGACCAGGGUUUGAUUCCCUGCCUGGCC